UACGGGGGGGGGCAAGCGUUGUUCGGAAUUACUGGGCGUAAAGGGCUCGUAGGUGGCCAACUAAGUCAGACGUGAAAUCCCCCGGCUUAACCGGGGAACUGCGUCUGAUACUGGAUGGCUUGAGUUCGGGGAGAGGGAUGCGGAAUUCCAGGUGUAGCGGUGAAAUGCGUAGAUAUCUGGAGGAACACCGGUGGCGAAGGCGGCAUCCUGGACCGACACUGACGCUGAGGAGCGAAAGCCAGGGGAGCAAAACGGG
rnacentral:rRNA from 1 species